rnacentral:lncRNA from 1 species
GAUACAUAUGGACAACCAAUUUUCAAAUAUCCUCUUUCUGUAGCUUGCACAUUAUAACCUGCAAACUGUAUUUGUCAUUGAUGGAUUGUCUCAUGAUACCUAUAGUGCAUUCAGACUGGUCAUCUUAUUGGGAAAAGAUAACAUUGCAUAUUACCAAGGACACUCAACUCUAAAUAAUUCUUCUGAUAAGAAAUUUUGCCCAAUCGCUAUCCAAGCUGCACCAUCAAACAACAUCUUAGUACUUGACAUUAAUUCCAAUGCAAUACAUAUCCUUAGUCCAAUUGCUGCUUAUGUGAGCCUUAGUGACAUGGGUAUACAAUGUAGCUUUUCUCUAUGUUGCAGUACCACCCAACUUUUUAUUGGGUGUCAAUCAUUUCAAGGGAAUGGAUGCGAAUCAAAUCAAGAAAGUAUGGCAAAGUUAUAUGAACUGAACAUAGAAGGAUGUUCAUAUUUAGUUUAAAGCAAAAAACAGAAACAAGUGAAAGUGAAUAUUUAAUUUCUAAAGGC